rnacentral:rRNA from 1 species
AGUGAACGCUGGCGGUAGGCCUAACACAUGCAAGUCGAACGGAAGCACAGUAAGAGCUUGCUCUUACGGGUGGCGCGUGGCGGACGGGUGAGGAAUACAUCGGGAUCUACUUUUUAGUGGGGGAUAACGUAGGGAAACUUACGCUAAUACCGCAUACGACCUACGGGUGAAAGCAGGGGACCUUCUGACCUGUCGGGAUUGAAUGAGCCGAUGACGGAUUAGCUAGUUGGCGGGGUAAAGGCCUACAAAGGCGACGAUCGGUAGCUGGUCUGAGGGGAUGAUCAGCCACCCGGGCACAGAGACACGGCCCAGACUCCUACGGUAGGCAGCAGUGGGGACUCUUGCACGAUGCGCGCGAGCCUAAUCCAGCCAUACCGCCGGGGUGAAGAAGCACUUCGGGUGCUAGAGCCAUUUUGUUGUUAAAGAAAUGCAGCUCUUUAACCCCCCGCGGUUAUGACGGUACCCGGAGAAUAAGCCCCGGCUAACUUCGUG